rnacentral:rRNA from 1 species
UGCGGAUUUGACAUUAGUCAAGUGGUAGGGGAGCGUUCUGUAAGCCGAUGAAGGUGUAUUGAGAAGUAUGCUGGAGGUAUCAGAAGUGCGAAUGCUGACGUGAGUAACGACAAAACGGGUGAAAAACCCGUUCGCCGAAAGACCAAGGGUUCCAGUCCAACGUUAAUCGGGGCUGGGUGAGUCGACCCCUAAGGCGAGGCCGAAAGGCGUAGUCGAUGGGAAAUUGGUUAAUAUUCCAAUACUUCUGUGUAAUGCGAUGAGAGGACGGAGAAGGUUAAGUCAGCCUGGCGUUGGUUGUCCAGGUGGAAGGAUGUAGGUAUGUAUCUUAGGCAAAUCCGGGGUACUCUAUACUGAGAUCCGAUAGCAAGCUGUACUUGUACAGCGAAGUGGCUGAUACCAUGCUUCCAGGAAAAGUCUCUAAGCUUCAGUUACACAGGAAUCGUACCCGAAACCGACACAGGUGGUCAGGUCGAGUAGACCAAGGCGCUUGAGAGAACUCUGCUGAAGGAACUAGGCAAAAUGGUACCGUAACUUCGGGAGAAGGUACGCUGUUGUUGGUGAUGGAACUUGCUUCCUGAGCUGAUGACAGCCGCAGAAACCAGGCCGCUGCAACUGUUUAUUAAAAACAUAGCACUCUGCAAACACGAAAGUGGACGUAUAGGGUGUGAUGCCUGCCCGGUGCUGGAAGGUUAAUUGAUGGGGUUAGCGUAAGCGAAGCUCUUGAUCGAAGCCCCAGUAAACGGCGGCCGUAACUAUAACGGUCCUAAGGUAGCGAAAUUCCUUGUCGGGUAAGUUCCGACCUGCACGAAUGGCAUAAUGAUGGCGGCGCUGUCUCCAGCAGAGGCUCAGUGAAAUCGAAAUCGCUGUGAAGAUGCAGUGUACCCGCGGCUAGACGGAAAGACCCCGUGAACCUUUACUGCAGCUUGACACUGAACUUUGACCUUACUUGUGUAGGAUAGGUGGGAGGCUUUGAAGUUGGAACGCUAGUUCCAAUGGAGCCGUCCUUGAAAUACCACCCUGGUAAUGUUGAGGUUCUAACUCUGUCCCGUUAUCCGGGACGAGGACCGUGUCUGGUGGGUAGUUUGACUGGGGCGGUCUCCUCCUAAAGAGUAACGGAGGAGUACGAAGGUGCGCUCAGCGUGGUCGGAAAUCACGCGUAGAGUAUAAAGGCAAAAGCGCGCUUAACUGCGAGACCCACAAGUCGAGCAGGUACGAAAGUAGGUCUUAGUGAUCCGGUGGUUCUGUAUGGAAGGGCCAUCGCUCAACGGAUAAAAGGUACUCUGGGGAUAACAGGCUGAUACCGCCCAAGAGUUCAUAUCGACGGCGGUGUUUGGCACCUCGAUGUCGGCUCAUCUCAUCCUGGGGCUGAAGCAGGUCCCAAGGGUAUGGCUGUUCGCCAUUUAAAGAGGUACGCGAGCUGGGUUUAGAACGUCGUGAGACAGUUCGGUCCCUAUCUACCGUGGGCGCUGGAAAUUUGAGAGGAUCUGCUCCUAGUACGAGAGGACCAGAGUGGACGAACCUCUGGUGUACCGGUUGUGACGCCAGUCGCAUCGCCGGGUAGCUAUGUUCGGAAGGGAUAACCGCUGAAAGCAUCUAAGCGGGAAGCCUACCUCAAGAUAAGAUUUCCCUAGGAAUUUAUUCCUCUAAAGAGCCGUUCGAGACUAGGACGUUGAUAGGUUGGAUGUGGAAGCAUAGUGAUAUGUGAAGCUGACCAAUACUAAUUGCUCGUGAGGCUUGACUA